UACGUAGGGGGCAAGCGUUGUCCGGAAUUAUUGGGCGUAAAGAGCUCGUAGGCGGUCUGUCGCGUCGGCUGUGAAAACCCGAGGCUCAACCUCGGGCCUGCAGUCGAUACGGGCAAACUAGAGUACUGCAGGGGAGACUGGAAUUCCUGGUGUAGCGGUGAAAUGCGCAGAUAUCAGGAGGAACACCGGUGGCGAAGGCGGAUCUCUGGGCCUUACCUGACGCUGAGGCGCGAAAAGCUAGGGGGAGCGAACAGG
rnacentral:rRNA from 1 species